rnacentral:lncRNA from 1 species
GUCGUUACAUAAAAUUAACUAUCAUACAGCCAUAUACACUUUUUCUGUGCAUUUGAGAGUAAAACAGACUUGAUUAAAAGGCCUUGAUUGGACUUGAUUGAAGUUGUCUUUUGGUGAGGUCAGCUGGAUUCUGAAUGAUAAUUGGAUCAUUGUGUUGGACCAAACUACUGGAGACCAGAUGAAAUUGGAGAUGUUUCAGGAUAGACCAGAACAGAAGGGAGGGAUGAGGCAGACAAUUAGGCCAGAGGAGAGUAGAACAAUAUACAUUCCAUAGGAUACCAGCUCAGAAUUGCUGAGGCUUAGACGUUCCUUCCAGUUCCAUAAUAUACAUAGACCACUGGAUCUCACUACCAACUGAGAGAGAAGUGGGGAGAGUGAGAGUACUAAUCUGACAAGGUUUUCCUUGAAUUAAGUGGGAAAAAGAAAACCAAAAACAGCUGACUUAAGUUCAAUUGGUUCAAUAAGCAUAUAAAAGAAAAACUGAUAAAAGGAAAGUGAGGAUCCAUAGAGGGUGCUGAUGAGCUCCCACAGACAGGCUGGUGAGGAUGAAUUCAAUCAGGAAGAAAGGAAAAAAGCACGUCAGUUUGUCCAUAGGUGCAGAUUGCAGAGUUGCAGCUGAAAGAAGACCCUUCAUUUUGGUUUUGGAUAACUUGGUGAAGAAUGCUACACAUAGUGGCACUGUAGCUUCUGAUGUACCACACAUUGACCAAGAUGACUAGAACUUUGGAAAUAGUAAACAAAAGAGUGAUUUCCGGGGGGAAGUGUUUUAAAGAAGAUGUCUGUGGCACAGGGCAUAGAAAGUUUGCCCAAUUAAAUUUGGUACAUUAGUGUUUAGGUUUACUCAAUCUCCGAACAAAGUGUGUGUGGUCAGUAGGUC